rnacentral:lncRNA from 10 species
CUUGAAUCCGGGAGGCGAAGGUCACGAGUGGUAUUCAGUUAAGAGAACAAUUAUUUCGUAUAAGCCACAUCAGAGACGACUGAAGAUGAAAAAACUACCAUCCCCGUAUAUAACUAAUUUGUGCUGUGCACCAACAAGAACCUGCUUUAAAUUUCCAUGGCAAUUUACAACCCCCAUACUGUACCAGGCAAGGUACCAGCAUCAAGAUGAUUUAUGGUAAUAAGGUACUCAGUCU